GACGAACGCUGGCGGCGUGCUUAACACAUGCAAGUCGAACGGUAAGGCCCUUCGGGGUACACGAGUGGCGAACGGGUGAGUAACACGUGGGUGAUCUGCCCUGCACUUCGGGAUAAGCCUGGGAAACUGGGUCUAAUACCGGAUAGGACCCUGGGAUGCAUGUCCUGGGGUGGCAAGCUUUUGCGGUGUGGGAUGGGGCCGCGGCCUAUCAGCUUGUUGGUGGGGUGAUGGCCUACCAAGGCGACGACGGGUAGCCGGCCUGCGAGGGUGCCCGGCCACACUGGGACUGAGAUACGGCCCAGACUCCUACGGGAGGCAGCAGUGGGGAAUAUUGCACAAUGGGCGCAAGCCUGAUGCAGCGACGCCGCGUGAGGGAUGACGGCCUUCGGGUUGUAAACCUCUUUCAGCACCGACGAAGCGCAAGUGACGGUAGGUGCAGAAGAAGGACCGGCCAACUACGUGCCAGCCGCCGCCGUAA
rnacentral:rRNA from 1 species